UAGAGGAAGUAAAAGUCGUAACAAGGUUUCCGUAGGUGAACCUGCGGAAGGAUCAUUACAGAGUUCAUGCCCGAAAGGGUAGACCUCCCACCCUUGUGUAUUAUUACUUUGUUGCUUUGGCGAGCUGCCUUCGGGCCUUGUAUGCUCGCCAGAGAAUACCAAAACUCUUUUUAUUAAUGUCGUCUGAGUACUAUAUAAUAGUUAAAACUUUCAACAACGGAUCUCUUGGUUCUGGCAUCGAUGAAGAACGCAGCGAAAUGCGAUAAGUAAUGUGAAUUGCAGAAUUCAGUGAAUCAUCGAAUCUUUGAACGCACAUUGCGCCCCUUGGUAUUCCGGGGGGCAUGCCUGUUCGAGCGUCAUUUCAACCCUCAAGCUUAGCUUGGUAUUGAGUCUAUGUCAGUAAUGGCAGGCUCUAAAAUCAGUGGCGGCGCCGCUGGGUCCUGAACGUAGUAAUAUCUCUCGUUACAGGUUCUCGGUGUGCUUCUGCCAAAACCCAAA
rnacentral:rRNA from 1 species